rnacentral:rRNA from 1 species
GAUGAACGCUGGCGGCGCGCCUAACACAUGCAAGUCGAACGGCACCCCUCUCCGGAGGGAAGCGAGUGGCGAACGGCUGAGUAACACGUGGAGAACCUGCCCCCUCCCCCGGGAUAGCCGCCCGAAAGGACGGGUAAUACCGGAUACCCCGGGGUGCCGCAUGGCACCCCGGCUAAAGCCCCGACGGGAGGGGAUGGCUCCGCGGCCCAUCAGGUAGACGGCGGGGUGACGGCCCACCGUGCCGACAACGGGUAGCCGGGUUGAGAGACCGACCGGCCAGAUUGGGACUGAGACACGGCCCAGACUCCUACGGGAGGCAGCAGUGGGGAAUCUUGCGCAAUGGGGGGAACCCUGACGCAGCGACGCCGCGUGCGGGACGGAGGCCUUCGGGUAGUAAACCGCUUUCAGCAGGG